rnacentral:rRNA from 1 species
GACGAACCGAGCGAACGUUGUUCGGAAUCACUGGGCUUAAAGGGCGCGUAGGCGGGCUGUCAAGUCUGGGGUGAAAUCCCGCGGCUCAACCGUGGAACUGCCUCAGAUACUGACGGCCUCGAGGGAGGUAGGGGCGAGCGGAACUGUAAGUGGAGCGGUGAAAUGCGUUGAUAUUCACAGGAACUCCGGUGGCGAAGGCGGCUCGCUGGACCUUUUCUGACGCUGAGGCGCGAAAGCUAGGGGAGCAAACAGG